rnacentral:miRNA from 1 species
UGUCACCCGCUCCUUGCCCAG